rnacentral:tRNA from 1 species
GCAAUGGCGCAGUUGGUAGCGCGCUUGGUUCGGGACCAAGAGGCCGUGGGUUCGAAUCCCGUUUGC